ACUCAAAGGAAUUGACGGGGGCCCGCACAAGCGGUGGAGCAUGUGGUUUAAUUCGACGCAACGCGAAGAACCUUACCAGGUUUUGACAUCCUUUGAUCGCUGUGGAAACACAGAAUUUUCUUCGGAAACAAAGAGACAGGUGGUGCAUGGUUGUCGUCAGCUCGUGUCGUGAGAUGUUGGGUUAAGUCCCGCAACGAGCGCAACCCUUAUAUUUAGUUGCUAUCAGGUAAAGCUGAGCACUCUAGAUAGACUGCCGGUGACAAACCGGAGGAAGGUGGGGAUGACGUCAAAUCAUCAUGCCCCUUAUAACCUGGGCUACACACGUGCUACAAUGGUCGUUACAGAGGGCAGCAAAGCUGCGAAGCGGAGCAAAUCCCAAAAAGACGAUCACAGUUCGGAUUGCAGGCUGCAACUCGCCUGCAUGAAGUCGGAAUCGCUAGUAAUCGCAGGUCAGCAUACUGCGGUGAAUACGUUCCCGGGCCUUGUACACACCGCCCGU
rnacentral:rRNA from 1 species